UACGAAGGGGGCUAGCGUUGCUCGGAAUCACUGGGCGUAAAGCGCACGUAGGCGGACUCUUAAGUCGGGGGUGAAAUCCUGGAGCUCAACUCCGGAACUGCCUUCGAUACUGGGAGUCUUGAGUUCGGGAGAGGUGAGUGGAACUGCGAGUGUAGAGGUGAAAUUCGUAGAUAUUCGCAAGAACACCAGUGGCGAAGGCGGCUCACUGGCCCGAUACUGACGCUGAGGUGCGAAAGCGUGGGGAGCAAACAGG
rnacentral:rRNA from 1 species